rnacentral:rRNA from 1 species
UACGGAGGGUGCAAGCGUUAAUCGGAAUUACUGGGCGUAAAGCGUGCGCAGGCGGUUUGUUAAGUCUGCUGUGAAAUCCCCGAGCUCAACUUGGGAAUUGCAGUGGAUAUUGGCAGGCUGGAGUAUGGUAGAGGAAGGUGGAAUUCCCGGUGUAGCAGUGAAAUGCGUAGAGAUCGGGAGGAACACCAGCGGCGAAGGCGGCCUUCUGGACCAAUACUGACGCUCAUGCACGAAAGCGUGGGGAGCAAACAGG